AGUGAACGCUGGCGGUAGGCCUAACACAUGCAAGUCGAACGGCAGCACAGUAAGAGCUUGCUCUUACGGGUGGCGAGUGGCGGACGGGUGAGGAAUACAUCGGAAUCUACUUUUUCGUGGGGGAUAACGUAGGGAAACUUACGCUAAUACCGCAUACGACCUACGGGUGAAAGCAGGGGAUCUUCGGACCUUGCGCGAUUGAAUGAGCCGAUGUCGGAUUAGCUAGUUGGCGGGGUAAAGGCCCACCAAGGCGACGAUCCGUAGCUGGUCUGAGGGGAUGAUCGGCCACACUGGAACUGAGACACGGUCCAGACUCCUACGGGAGGCAGCAGUGGGGAAUAUUGGACAAUGGGCGCAAGCCUGAUCCAGCCAUACCGCGUGGGUGAAGAAGGCCUUCGGGUUGUAAAGCCCUUUUGUUGGGAAAGAAAAGCAGCAGGUUAAUACCCCGCUGUUCUGACGGUACCCAAAGAAUAAGCACCGGCUAACUUUGUG
rnacentral:rRNA from 1 species